GAUCCUGGCUCAGGAUGAACGCUAGCUACAGGCUUAACACAUGCAAGUCGAGGGGAAACGACAUCGAAAGCUUGCUUUUGAUGGGCGUCGACCGGCGCACGGGUGAGUAACGCGUAUCCAACCUGCCCAUCACUUGGGAAUAACCUUGCGAAAGUAAGACUAAUACCCAAUGAUAUCCCACGAAGGCAUCCGAAUGGGAUUAAAGAUUUAUCAGUAAAGGAUGGGGAUGCGUCCCAUUAGCUUGUUGGG
rnacentral:rRNA from 1 species